UUCCCAGUGGUCCAGUGGUUAGGACUCAGUGCUUUCACUGCCAUGGCCCAGGUUCAAUCCCUGGUCAGGAAC
rnacentral:tRNA from 1 species